rnacentral:rRNA from 1 species
UGGGGAAUAUUGGACAAUGGGGGCAACCCUGAUCCAGCCAUGCCGCGUGAGUGAAGAAGGCCUUCGGGUUGUAAAGCUCUUUCGGCGGGGACGAUGAUGACGGUACCCGCAUAAGAAGCCCCGGCAAACUUCGUGCCAGCAGCCGCGGUAAUACGAAGGGGGCUAGCGUUGUUCGGAAUUACUGGGCGUAAAGCGCGCGUAGGCGGUGAACUUUGUCAGAGGUGAAAGCCUGGGGCUCAACUCCAGAAUUGCCUUUGAAACGGGUUCGCUAGAGUCCGAGAGAGGAUGGCGGAAUUCCUAGUGUAGAGGUGAAAUUCGUAGAUAUUAGGAAGAACACCGGUGGCGAAGGCGGCCAUCUGGCUCGGUACUGACGCUCAGGCGCGAAAGCGUGGGGAGCAAACAGG